AGGGUUUGAUCAUGGCUCAGGACGAACGCUGGCGGCGUGCUUAACACAUGCAAGUCGAACGGAAAGGCCCUGCUUUUGUGGGGUGCUCGAGUGGCGAACGGGUGAGUAACACGUGAGUAACCUGCCCUUGACUUUGGGAUAACUUCAGGAAACUGGGGCUAAUACCGGAUAGGAGCUCCUGCUGCAUGGUGGGGGUUGGAAAGUUUCGGCGGUUGGGGAUGGACUCGCGGCUUAUCAGCUUGUUGGUGGGGUAGUGGCUUACCAAGGCUUUGACGGGUAGCCGGCCUGAGAGGGUGACCGGCCACAUUGGGACUGAGAUACGGCCCAGACUCCUACGGGAGGCAGCAGUGGGGAAUAUUGCACAAUGGGCGGAAGCCUGAUGCAGCAACGCCGCGUGCGGGAUGACGGCCUUCGGGUUGUAAACCGCUUUCGCCUGUGACGAAGCGUGAGUGACGGUAAUGGGUAAAGAAGCACCGGCUAACUACGUGCCAGCAGCCGCGGUGAUACGUAGGGUGCGAGCGUUGUCCGGAUUUAUUGGGCGUAAAGGGCUCGUAGGUGGUUGAUCGCGUCGGAAGUGUAAUCUUGGGGCUUAACCCUGAGCGUGCUUUCGAUACGGGUUGACUUGAGGAAGGUAGGGGAGAAUGGAAUUCCUGGUGGAGCGGUGGAAUGCGCAGAUAUCAGGAGGAACACCAGUGGCGAAGGCGGUUCUCUGGGCCUUUCCUGACGCUGAGAGCGAAAGCGUGGGGAGCGAACAGGCUUAGAUACCCUGGUAGUCCACGCUGUAAACGGUGGUACUAGGUGUGGGGUCCAUUCCACGGGUUCCGUGCCGUAGCUAACGCUUUAAGUACCCCGCCUGGGGAGUACGGCCGCAAGGCUAAAACUCAAAGGAAUUGACGGGGCCCCGCACAAGCGGCGGAGCAUGCGGAUUAAUUCGAUGCAACGCGUAGAACCUUACCUGGGUUUGACAUGGAUCGGGAGUGCUCAGAGAUGGGUGUGCCUCUUUUGGGGUCGGUUCACAGGUGGUGCAUGGCUGUCGUCAGCUCGUGUCGUGAGAUGUUGGGUUAAGUCCCGCAACGAGCGCAACCCUUGUUCACUGUUGCCAGCACGUUAUGGUGGGGACUCAGUGGAGACCGCCGGGGUCAACUCGGAGGAAGGUGGGGAUGACGUCAAGUCAUCAUGCCCCUUAUGUCCAGGGCUUCACGCAUGCUACAAUGGCUGGUACAGAGAGUGGCGAGCCUGUGAGGGUGAGCGAAUCUCGGAAAGCCGGUCUCAGUUCGGAUCGGGGUCUGCAACUCGACCUCAUGAAGUCGGAGUCGCUAGUAAUCGCAGAUCAGCAACGCUGCGGUGAAUACGUUCCCGGGGCUUGUACACACCGCCCGUCAAGUCAUGAAAGUUGGUAACACCCGAAGCCGGUGGCCUAACCGUUGUGGGGGAGCCGUCGAAGGUGGGACUGGUGAUUAGGACUAAGUCGUAACAAGGUAGCC
rnacentral:rRNA from 1 species